rnacentral:tRNA from 1 species
UCGGAUAUGGUGUAACGGCCAACAUUGCCGCCUCUCAUUGACUUGCGCGGCAGCUCGGGGUUCGAUUCCCCGUAUCCGAA